GAGUGAUGACAUACCUGCUUGUCAAUGACCGAUCUCAUCAGAUUUUGGAAGCUAAGCAAGGCCGGGCCUGUUUAGUACUUGGAUGUUGUGUCCUUAGGCAAGACAGUUGACACAUCGCCUC
rnacentral:rRNA from 1 species